GGGUGCUUAGCUCAGCUGGGAGAGCAUCGCCCUUACAAGGCGAGGGUCACAGGUUCGAUCCCUGUAGCACCCACCA
rnacentral:tRNA from 9 species